CUAGUGCUUCCGGACCUUGCUCCCUGAACACUCGGAGGUGGCGGUGGAUCUUACUCCUUCCAGCCAGUGAGGAUCCAGCAACCUGCUCCGUGCCUCCCGCGCCUGUUGGUUGGAAGUGACGACCUUGAAGAUCGGCCGGUUGGAAGUGACGACCUUGAAGAUCGGCGGGCGCAGCGGGGCCGAGGGGGCGGGUCUGGCGCUAGGUCCAGCCCCUGCGUGCCGGGAACCCCAGAGGAGGUCGCAGUUCAGCCCAGCUGAGGCCUGUCUGCAGAAUCGACACCAACCAGCAUCAUGUCCAUGACACUGGGGUACUGGGACAUCCGCGGGCUGGCCCACGCCAUCCGCCUGCUCCUGGAAUACACAGACUCAAGCUACGAGGAAAAGAAGUAUACGAUGGGGGACGCUCCUGACUAUGACAGAAGCCAGUGGCUGAAUGAAAAAUUCAAGCUGGGCCUGGACUUUCCCAAUCUGCCCUACUUGAUUGAUGGGGCUCACAAGAUCACCCAGAGCAACGCCAUCCUGUGCUACAUUGCCCGCAAGCACAACCUGUGUGGGGAGACAGAAGAGGAGAAGAUUCGUGUGGACAUUUUGGAGAACCAGGCUAUGGACGUCUCCAAUCAGCUGGCCAGAGUCUGCUACAGCCCUGACUUUGAGAAACUGAAGCCAGAAUACUUGGAGGAACUUCCUACAAUGAUGCAGCACUUCUCACAGUUCCUGGGGAAGAGGCCAUGGUUUGUUGGAGACAAGAUCACCUUUGUAGAUUUCCUCGCCUAUGAUGUCCUUGACCUCCACCGUAUAUUUGAGCCCAACUGCUUGGACGCCUUUCCAAAUCUGAAGGACUUCAUCUCCCGCUUUGAGGUUUCCUGUGGCAUAAUGUGAUGGUCAAUUUUCUGCAUCAACUUGACUGGGCUAAGGGAUGCUCAGAUGGCAGGGUCUCAUUCUGUCACCCAGGCUGGAGUGCAGUGGUGUGAUCACGGCUCAUUGCAGCCUCGACUUCUCAGGCUCCAAUGAUCCUCCCACCUCAGCCUCUCAAGUAGCUGGGACCACAGGUAAAGGGCCACCAUGGCCAGCUAAUUUUCGUAUAUUUGGUAGACAAUGUUUCACCAUGCUUCCCAGGCUGGGUGGAUACUUUUCAAAAAUAAGUUCAGUUCAUCCUGCCUAGCCUUGCCCCAGCAGCUCUAGAGGAAUUACCCACUCUGGUGCUGGGCUCAGGCUGCCUGUCUCUGGAAUAAUGUGCUCAGAGCUGCAGGGUAGGCCUGCUGUCUGACUGGCAGAGAGAGUCCCAUACUCCCUACCCUGUACCCUGAAAGAUCAAGGCUGCCCAGCCUGUCCACCUGGUAGACCAUUUCCCUGCCCAAUUCUCCUUCUCUCAUUCCUGAUGUGCAGCUUGAUGCCUGCAGGGACUGUGCCAGCUGAGAUUGUCUCUAGGUCCUCCCUUCUGCCAGCUGGUGUCCAGGGAAGUGGGUCCUUUGGCCUGCUUCCUGCCACCAGAAUUUUGAGGACCUUGUUUCUCCCACUGCAACUUUUGACCCAUUCCUGGGUUUCUUUUUCUUUUUUUUGAGACGGAGUCUUACUCUGUCGCUCAGGCUGGAGUGCAGUGGUGCAACCUCAGCUCACUACAACCUCCACCUCCCUGGUUCAAGCGAUUCUCCUGCCUCAGCUUCCUGAGUAGCUGGGAUUACAGGCACCCGCCACCAGGCCUGGCUAAUUUUUUUGCAUUUUUAGUACAGUCGGGAUUUCACCACGUUGGCUGGGUUUUAGACUAGGGUUUCUUCACCUCAGCAGUACUGUCAUUUUGGAGGGCAAAAUCAUUUGUUGUGGGGCACUGUCCUGAGCAUUGCAGGGUGUUCAGCAUCCUACGCAAACUCUACCCACUAGAUGCCAUGGGCGCUUCCCAGUGGUGACAAUUAACAAAGUCUCCAGACAGACCUACAUGUCCCCUGAGGGGCAAAGUUACCUCCACUUGAAGACCAGUGGUGUGCUGGAUGGAUACUAAUAUUAAAAUAAUAAUAAUAAUAAUAAUAGAAAUCAUAAUAUAACUCAUGUAGUUAAGGUAAGUCCUUUUUGAUGGAACAUUUAUUUCAGUUAAUAAUAUUUGUGUAUGUCUGUCCUGGUAGUUUUUUUUUUUUAACUUUUUAUUUUGAUUUAACAUGAGAGUUUGAGAAAUUUACAAAACGAAUGAAUACAAAGACCUCUGAUUACCCCAGAUUCUAACGUUUCCACAUGGGCUUUCUCCUCCCUCCCCAAGUCCACCAGCCCCUGCUCCCCACCUUUCUGUCUCUCUUCCCACCCAGCAAGCUCCCUAGGAGCACAGCACCACUUAUGACAAAAACAUCAUUUUCUUUUCUCUGAGGCGGUAUUCCUGACGUUUGGAUUUAGGCUGAUAAGUGACAGUGAGUUAUAAUCAUCCUUGCCUGUGUUGUCCUUCCCACGUUAGGUCUGUCAUGCCACGUAUGUCCGCAGUUUAUAACAAUCUCUAUCAUACAUUGAAAAGUUUUGAAAACUUAUCCAGUGAAUCCCUGAGCACCAAAUGUUCUUUUGUG